rnacentral:rRNA from 1 species
UACAGAGGGUGCAAACGUUGUUCGGAAUUACUGGGCGUAAAGCGUGUGUAGGCGGUCUCAUAAGUCGGGCGUGAAAGCCCCGGGCUCAACCCGGGAAGUGCACUCGAUACUGUGAGACUUGAGUUUCGGAGAGGUUGGUAGAAUUCUUGGUGUAGAGGUGAAAUUCGUAGAUAUCAAGAGGAAUACCGGUGGCGAAGGCGGCCAACUGGACGAAAACUGACGCUGAGACACGAAAGCAUGGGGAGCAAACAGG